GAUUACGGGUAGCCGGCCUGAGAGGGCGACCGGCCACACUGGGACUGAGACACGGCCCAGACUCCUGCGGGAGGCAGCAGUGGGGAAUAUUGCGCAAUGGGCGAAAGCCUGACGCAGCGAGCGUGCUUAACACAUGCAAGUCGAGCGGUAAGGCCCUUCGGGGUACACGAGCGGCGAACGGGUGAGUAACACGUGAGCAACCUGCCCCUGACUCUGGGAUAAGCGGUGGAAACGCCGUCUAAUACCGGAUACGACCUUCCGCCUCAUGGUGGAGGGUGGAAAGUUUUUUCGGUCAGGGAUGGGCUCGCGGCCUAUCAGCUUGUUGGUGGGGUAACGGCCUACCAAGGCCGCCGCGUGGGGGAUGACGGCCUUCGGGUUGUAAACCUCUUUUACCACCAACGCAGGCUCCGGGUUCUCUCGGGGUUGACGGUAGGUGGGGAAUAAGGACCGGCUAACUACGUGCCAGCAGCCGCGGUAAUACGUAGGGUCCGAGCGUUGUCCGGAAUUAUUGGGCGUAAAGAGCUCGUAGGCGGCGUGUCGCGUCUGCUGUGAAAGACCGGGGCUUAACUCCGGUUCUGCAGUGGAUACGGGCAUGCUAGAGGUAGGUAGGGGAGACUGGAAUUCCUGGUGUAGCGGUGAAAUGCGCAGAUAUCAGGAGGAACACCGGUGGCGAAGGCGGGUCUCUGGGCCUUACCUGACGCUGAGGAGCGAAAGCAUGGGGAGCGAACAGGAUUAGAUACCCUGGUAGUCCAUGCCGUAAACGUUGGGCGCUAGGUGUGGGGACUUUCCACGGUUUCCGCGCCGUAGCUAACGCAUUAAGCGCCCCGCCUGGGGAGUACGGCCGCAAGGCUAAAACUCAAAGGAAUUGACGGGGGCCCGCACAAGCGGCGGAGCAUGUUGCUUAAUUCGACGCAACGCGAAGAACCUUACCAAGGUUUGACAUCACCCGUGGACCUGUAGAGAUACAGGGUCAUUUAGUUGGUGGGUGACAGGUGGUGCAUGGCUGUCGUCAGCUCGUGUCGUGAGAUGUUGGGUUAAGUCCCGCAACGAGCGCAACCCUUGUUCCAUGUUGCCAGCACGUAAUGGUGGGGACUCAUGGGAGACUGCCGGGGUCAACUCGGAGGAAGGUGGGGACGACGUCAAGUCAUCAUGCCCCUUAUGUCUUGGGCUGCAAACAUGCUACAAUGGCCGGUACAAUGGGCGUGCGAUACCGUAAGGUGGAGCGAAUCCCUUAAAGCCGGUCUCAGUUCGGAUUGGGGUCUGCAACUCGACCCCAUGAAGGUGGAGUCGCUAGUAAUCGCGGAUCAGCAACGCCGCGGUGAAUACGUUCCCGGGCCUUGUACACACCGCCCGUCACGUCAUGAAAGUCGGCAACACCCGAAACUUGCGGCCUAACCCUUCGGGGAGGGAGUGAGUGAAGGUGGGGCUGGCGAUUGGGACGAAGUCGUAACAAGGUAGCCGUACCGGAAGGUGCGGCUGGAUCACCUC
rnacentral:rRNA from 1 species